CCAGUCACAGUGAAUGAUGACAAUGGUAACUUCAUUCCUGCUGGGAGGUCAGAGGACAGCAUGGCACAUGGAGGAAGGUGGGGCUUCAGGAAGUAGUAAGGGACACAUGGAGCCAGGGGAAGGGCUGGUGUGGCCAUUUUGACCAUGGUGUUCAGGCUCAGUGACUUCAGGCUCCCUUUCUACAACACUAGGAAUUAAUGGGAAAGGGCUCAGGCCUUCCUCACAGAGUCCUGGGGGAUGCUAAUGUGCACCCAAGAGGAAAAACCACCUAAGAGAAAGAUGCCAGGUAGAAGGUGCAGUGAAGAGAAGCAGUGGCCCUGCAAGGCAGAUGCGUCUUUUCUACUUUUGCUGAUGAAGAAACAGAAGCUCAGGGAUGCUGUGUAACUUGCCUGAUGUCUCUCCAAUGGUAAAAUAAAGAUCUAAACUCACA